UGGAGAGUUUGAUCCUGGCUCAGAUUGAACGCUGGCGGCAGGCCUAACACAUGCAAGUCGAACGGUAACAGGAAGCAGCUUGCUGCUUUGCUGACGAGUGGCGGACGGGUGAGUAAUGUCUGGGAAACUGCCUGAUGGAGGGGGAUAACUACUGGAAACGGUAGCUAAUACCGCAUAACGUCGCAAGACCAAAGAGGGGGACCUUCGGGCCUCUUGCCAUCGGAUGUGCCCAGAUGGGAUUAGCUAGUAGGUGGGGUAACGGCUCACCUAGGCGACGAUCCCUAGCUGGUCUGAGAGGAUGACCAGCCACACUGGAACUGAGACACGGUCCAGACUCCUACGGGAGGCAGCAGUGGGGAAUAUUGCACAAUGGGCGCAAGCCUGAUGCAGCCAUGCCGCGUGUAUGAAGAAGGCCUUCGGGUUGUAAAGUACUUUCAGCGGGGAGGAAGGCGAUAAGGUUAAUAACCUUGUCGAUUGACGUUACCCGCAGAAGAAGCACCGGCUAACUCCGUGCCAGCAGCCGCGGUA
rnacentral:rRNA from 1 species